rnacentral:rRNA from 1 species
CCUACGGGAGGCAGCAGUGGGGAAUUUUGGACAAUGGGCGCAAGCCUGAUCCAGCCAUGCCGCGUGCGGGAAGAAGGCCUUCGGGUUGUAAACCGCUUUUGUCAGGGAAGAAAUCCCUUGAGCUAAUACCUCGGGGGGAUGACGGUACCUGAAGAAUAAGCACCGGCUAACUACGUGCCAGCAGCCGCGGUAAUACGUAGGGUGCAAGCGUUAAUCGGAAUUACUGGGCGUAAAGCGUGCGCAGGCGGUUAUGUAAGACAGGUGUGAAAUCCCCGGGCUUAACCUGGGAACUGCACUUGUGACUGCAUAGCUUGAGUGCGGCAGAGGGGGAUGGAAUUCCGCGUGUAGCAGUGAAAUGCGUAGAUAUGCGGAGGAACACCGAUGGCGAAGGCAAUCCCCUGGGCCUGCACUGACGCUCAUGCACGAAAGCGUGGGGAGCAAACAGGAUUAGAUACCCUGGUAGUCCACGCCCUAAACGAUGUCAACUGGUUGUUGGACGGCUUGCUGUUCAGUAACGUAGCUAACGCGUGAAGUUGACCGCCUGGGGAGUACGGCCGCAAGGUUGAAACUUAAGGAAUUGACGG